AAACCAGCACCUCAAGUGGUCAGGAGGAUUAUUGGGCCUAAAGCAUCCGUAGCCUGCUCUGUAAGUUUCCGGUUAAAUCCACUAGCUCAACUAGUGGGCUGCCGAAAAUACUGUAGAACUAGGGAGUGGGAGAGGUAGACGGUAUUCGGUAGGAAGGGGUAAAAUCCUUUGAUCUGUUGAGGACCACCUGUGGUGAAGACGGUCUACCAGACCACGUUCGACGGUGAGGGAUGAAGGCUGAGGGAGCAAACCGGAUUAGAAACCCCAGUAGUCC
rnacentral:rRNA from 1 species